rnacentral:rRNA from 1 species
GCUUGACUGUAGCUUGUAAUUGGGUUCGGGCUUUUUUUGCGCAGCCUAGGUGGGAGGCAAUGAUGAUUUUUUUCCGGAAAAAUUUGAGCCAUUAGUGAGAGACCACUCUGAAAAGGCUAGAAUCCUAAUAAUGAUCCUUGAAUCAGGACAUUUGACAGUUGCAGGUGGGCAGUUUUACUGGGGCGGUAUUCUCCUAAAAAGUAACGGAGGGGUGCAAAGGUUCCCUCAAGCUGGACGGAAAUCAGCUUAAGAGUGUAAAGGCAAAAGGGAGCUUGACUGCAAGACCUACAAGUCGAGCAGGGGCGAAAGCCGGCCUUAGUGAUCCGACGGUACCACGUGGAAGGGCCGUCGCUCAACGGAUAAAAGUUA